GAAAAAAAUUUGACUUUGAAAUAUUUUUACGAUUAAAAAGUUUCAGUUCACUUUUGAACGUUGACGAAGACGGACGUACUUUCGUGAGCUCUGACUAUUGAUGAAAAGUUUUGAGUUUUACUGACUUGUACUUUGAGAGUAAAAUUGACUUCGCGUUAUAGAAUAGCGACUUGGUACUCAGGUUGUUGAAUGACUGGAUGACUGAAGUGUUAGGUUAUUGUUAUGAGAUAACAACUUGACUUUGACUUGAGUUGUGAAAUGAAACCAUACUCUUAUGCGAUGUUAACUUUUGAACGUUUAGUAUUGACUGACAACGAAAUUUUGUGAGCGUUAUAUAUGAAAUGUUUGACUUACAUUAAUUUUUUUGAACGACUUGACUUCACUUUAAGUUUUGACAUCGGACUGAUCGGACGUGUUUUUUUAAGCUCUGACUGUUGUGAAUAAUUAAAUUUAUGUUGUGGUGUCAAGCGAUUGACUGUCAGUUGAGGUUCAGAUGUCGAGCUGUGCGGACGUGUUCAUCGAGCUGCUGUCUACAAAAAACGGUGCUGUGGUGAGUACUGUAGAUUGUAGUGCAUAUGUAUAGAAUUCAAUAAAAGAUUAUGACUGAAAACUGCUUUUGAUUCUUAUUGUACAGUUUUAGGGAUUAUAAGUCUAUAACAACUCUGUCGGUUGGUGUUCAUGAGUGUGAGCUUAAUACAGCAAUGUUUGAGUAGUACAAAAAUGUUUUCGCUUUUGUGGUCGCCAGCUGUCCGUGAUCUGUAAAGUGAAAAUACACAGAGCUAUGAAGCAUACAAAUGUUUCGAAAUUUUAUCAAUGAUUGUAUACUAUGCAUGUUUUGAUUUAGUUCGUUUCAGAUUUGACAUGAGAUGAAAACCUGACAUGAUUUGAACAGAGCUGGGAAACGAAAAGAUUUUCAGAUGUGUGCUGGCAGUUCAAGUCUGGCAGCUGGAGUGAACAGUCGUGUUUUCUGGAGCUCCAACAAUAUGCUAGAAGGAGUGCUUAUCCAGUGAUGAUAUGACAGUUGGAGUGAACAGUGGAGCCAAGCAGUCUUGUUUUUGGAGCUACUCAACAAGCCUUGAAGGUGUACUUGCUGACAGCGACGAAGACGAAUCAAGAAGAGGAACAUUGUUCAGAAAGUGAUUGGGACUUGCAAACAGGAUUCGAGUCACUGGUUUACACAUGGAAGAAGAUUUCCACGUCGGUUACUCAACUCUACAGAAGCAAGUGGAUGUCCAGAUGGCAAGCAGAACAGACGUGUUUCUUGGAGCUGCCAAACAGUGAGUACAAACGUUUUAUAUUUUUCAGUUGUUUACUCAUAGAAGUCUGUGAAAGAUGAUAACAAGGGUUGAAUUGCACAGUACUUGUGUCUAAAAAUGCUGAUGUGUGACGGUUUACUGAAAAGGGUAAAUGCUAGCCAGUACUAACACUUGAGCAACCGUGGGAUGUCGAACUAACUGAUGAUGUACUAUGAUGGUGAACACUUACUUUGUGUAUCGAAAUGCUUUUGUUGAUAUUUACUAAAUAUUGAUUGACAUUUGUUUGCAUGCUGUUAACAUUUCUAUUUCAUUUCAGUUGGCUGUGGUGAGUAUUGUAAUAUACAUUUGUUUCAAUAAAUCAUGAUGAAUGAACACUGAUUUCGAUUCUUUUUUACAGUUUUAGGGAUUAUCACUCUAUAACAACUCUGUCGGUUGGUGUUCGUGAAUGUGAGCUUAAUGUUUGAGUAGUACAAAAAUGUCUUUACUUUUGUGAUCGCCAGUUGUCUGUGAUGUAAAGUGGAAAAAACACAGCUAUGAAGCAUACAAUUGUUUCAAUAUUUUAUCAAUGAUAGUGUGCUAUGCAUGUUUUGAUUUAGUUCGUUUCAGAUACGACAUGACAUGAAGAGUUGACAGUCGAACAGAGCUGAGCAAAGCAGAAAGGUAAGUGUGUUUCAUUUUAGUAUGGACACUUGUAUUUUGUUUUUAUAUGGUAUGUUUUGUGCAUGCUAUGUUUCAGGUGUACUUGUAGUCAGCGACGAAGACGAUUCAAGAAGAGGAACAUUGCUGAGAAAGUGAAUGGGACUUGCAAACAGGGUAAGUGUUACAAUUGUUUGUUUGAUUUUUACCAUGCAUACUUUGCUUUGCUCUGUUUCAGAUUUCACAUGCAGAAAUGGUCUCAUAGCAGUGCCAACAGUGAAUAAGGAUUUCAGCUGCUGUGAAACAACUCAACAGAAAGUAGGUAAGCAUUGAAUGAAUGCACUUGAGUUGUACAAUUUGAUGUGAUGCUUUUCUCUGUUUCAGAUUCAAGUUCCUGGUGUAGACAGAGAAAUGUGUUUGAAGAAGGAAUUCUACUACUGUGAUUCAACUCUACAGAAGCAAGGUAAGUAGAAACAAAAUUUUGGUUUAAUUUAACUCAUGUGUUUUGCACUGCAUGCUAUUUUUCAGGUCUCUCAUGCAGUGAUGGAAAAGAAGAAGAUUUCAAGAAAGAAUCACUGCUGCAACUCAGGCCUAUAACAAGGUAAGUGUUUACUAUAUUGUAUACAAAAUGUUUCUCUGUUUUACUCUGUUUCAGGUUUCAAUUGCAGAGAUGUUGCAGAGAUGUUUUGACAGCUUGUGGCAGAAAAGAAAUUCAGCAUCUGUUUCUCGACUCUAGCCACGAGGUAAGUCAAAACAAAUAUACUGGUUUGUAUGUAAUGUUGUUAUGCCCUUCUAUGUUUCAGACUUACAUUGCUGUGACUGUUCCACAGUGGGUCAAAAAAGAGACGAAUACAGGUUUCAAGAAGAAAAUUGGCUGUUAAAAACCUGCACAAAAUAUGAGGUAAGUAAACUACUCUUUUGGUUUGUUUUGUGCUUUGUUAUGCUUAACUAUUUUUCAGAUUGGAAUGGUGGGUCGUUACAGAGCAGACUUUUGGACUACUGAGAAGUUGAGAAACAGAGAAUGAUUCAAGAUCAGCUAGGUAAGUCUUGAUUAUUAUGCAUUGCUAAAUGUUUUUUUCAUUCCAGUAUGGCUGUGGUAAGUACACAAACUUUCUAUAAUUUAAUAUUGAACUGUUUUUAUGACCUGUAUUCUGCAUUGUAAAAUGUCUGUUUUUCAUUUCAGUAUCCUGUGGUAAGUACACUAACUUUGUAUAAUUUCAUAUUGAAAUGUUUUGAUGACUUGUAUCCUGCUAUGCAAUGCUUAAUAUAUUUUUCAUUUCAGUGUGGCUGUGGUAAGUACACUAACUUUCUUUUCUUUUUCAUAUUGAACUGUUUUGGUGACUUGUAUUCUGCUAUACAAAAUGUGUUUUUUUCAUUUCAGUUGCCUGUGGUAAGUACAAUUGCCUUCUUUAAUUUUCAUAUUGAACUGUUUUGAUGACUUGUAUACUGCAUUGUAAAAUGUGUUUCUUUUUCAUUUCAGUAUGGCUGUGGUAAGUACAAUUGCCUUCUUUAAUUUUCAUAUUGAACUGUUUUGAUGACUUUUAUUCUGCCAUACAAAAUGUGUUUUUUUUCAUUUCAGUUGCCUGUUGGUAAGUACAAUUUGCUUUCUUUAAUUGCAUAUUGAAAUAUGUUUUAUGACUUUUAUUCUGCUAUGCUUUUUUCAUUUCAGUUUGGCAGAUGUAAGUACACUUCAUUUAUGUAAAAACUGAAUAUGAUUGUUGUGCUAUACAAAAUGUGCUUUUUUCAAUUUCAGGUCAGCAAUGGUAAGUAGAUUGUGUUUCUUUAUGUAUAAUUUUGUAUACAUAUUGUUUUUUUUCAUCAUAGCAUGUCUUUUAUAUUUAUGCUUUGUGUAAGUAAAAUGUUCAUAAAUCAUUCUUAUCUUCAAACUAAAAAUGUAUUGUGCUAUGCAAAAUGUCUGUAUGAUUUCAGUUGCCAGAGGUGAGUACCAUUACAGUUGAAAAGUUAGUUUUGUUUAGUUAAAGUUUUGGUUCACAGUUCUGUUUAUUAUUUGGCAAAAUUUACAUGUAUGCAUUGAGUCUUGAUUUCAGCUCGAUUGUGGACUGAAGAAGAUUGCCAGCAGAGGGAUUGGAUACAAAAUACAAACCCUACUACAAGACGAGUGUUUUCUACUACUAGACGUGUCAGGUUUACUUCCAGGCGAGCAGUGACAACAAGGCGCCUUUGUGGAAACAGCAAAACAAACAACUCUACUGCAAGACGAGCAGUAACAGCAAGGCGCCUGAACAUGCAACACAAUACAAAAAAUGCCAAUUUGCAAACCUUGAUGUGGACACCGAGUAGUCAAUACAUACGUGUGGCGUAUAGCUGCGACAAAACCGUGGGUCCAUCGCACCGAUAACUUGAACAUUGGCCCGUGUAUGGACAUCAGUGCAACUUUGUGAAUCCAUGUAUCUUUGUGAAUCCAUGUAACAUUGCGAAUGUGUGUCGAUCGAAAAAUGUGUACAUUCUGAACUGAAACGAACUCGGUGUUGCAAGUGGCAAGUGUUGACAGUGUGUAUGUUUAUGUUUAUGUUUUUACAUGAAAACUAAAGGAGAUUGUUCUCCUACCUUUUUUUUCCUUGUUUUAUUGCGCUGGCCAGCAAUAUUGAUGUAUUGAUGUAUGUGUUUGUGUUUAAACUAUGCAAUACCAAAAUCAAACAAAAAAUAAACAUUAACAGUCAUUAACUGUGUUUGGGCGGCCGAGGGGUUUAAGACUCCACAAGUGUGAAGCGCACUGAUAGCACUUGGGGGUGAACACCUCGGUAUUUCGGUGCUAAAAUGUUUUCACGGUGCUUAUCUUGACGCACUGUUAAGACUACCAACCAGUUAAUGAUUGCUUCAUCUUUAAACAAAAAGUAAGUCUCUACUUUGGCACAAGAGACUCCAAGUACCAAAUACCAACAAUUAAAAAGCAGACGUUUUUCAAAACUAUGAUCGCUGAGAUUGAUAGUCAGAUGGAGUCCUGCCCAUUUAGCUGUGUAGCGGUCUAGGGCGGGG